UGUCCCUUAGCAAACAGCUCCCUGCGCCGGGCGGAGACAGGCUGGGCGCUGGGAGCCGGAGCCCAGGGCGGCAGCGCGUUGUGUAACCCGCCUGGGAAUCACGUUGCACGGGCGAGAUCCGCAGGCUUUCAGUGCAAUAAUAAGCUUGAUCUUUUUAUUCAAAUACAAGGAACAACCACCGCCGGCUCCAAGUCACGUGGCCGGGUCACAUGGUGCCGAGACACAGAAACCGGCUGGCAGUCAUUAACUAAUGCUUACUCCCAGGGAGAAAACGCAGGUUUUAAAGACACGAGCUCUGUUUUUGUAAACCACGCAGCACUGCAAGAGAAGAUUACAGAGUCACCGAGGGCUGGGACCCCUUCUUGGAUGUCUUUGAAUCUCUGCAUACCAGUCAGCAAAGUGCCAGCAAGAGGAAUCUAAUGAACGUGGGACAUGAAAGAGACUGGGCUGACCAAGACAGACAGGAAGCUCGGAAAAUUAUUUGAAAUGUCUAAAGUCAUCAGAAGGCUUAGAAAACGUAAUGCCAGUCCUUCCUGCAAAAGAAAUGUGCACAGCAGAAAACAAAACCCAGAGCAGAAAGCAGAGAGCAAGGGCAAGUUGGGACAGGAAAUGGAGAAGAAAUUGGGAAAGGUCGCGCAGAAUGAGGUCAAGUUCCGGGGGACGGAGGAGCAAAGCACGCAUGAUGUGUGAGCGCUAAUUAACGUGGUUAAAGAGAACAGCGUGGAACAGUAAAUGCCAGCAGAGCAAGGAGCCCAGCUGCAAGGCGGACCCAACGUGAAAAAGAAAAGCAAUCCUUGCGCCACACAACUCCUUUCAUAAACCAGCAAAUUCCCGUAAAUCUGUUCGCCUCCCGUUGUGGCUGUAUAGGUGAGGAGUAGGAUGGCCGAGUGGUGGACCUCCCAGCACGUAUUACCCCUAGAACGAGCUCCUGGCGCCCGCUUAGGCCGCAGCCUCUUCUGACAUCCUUUCCCUCCGCGCGUGGCUGUAGAUGCUCAUCCGGGAGCAGGAAAUGAUUGCAUGCUUGGGCUUUUCUGCAGUUCGUCUUCUAAAGAGAGAAACGAAACAAAGCAAAAAAGAAAGCUGGAUGUUUAGAGAUAUUCUAAAACCUUUUAAAGGCGUGCCGUUCACUGAAGCAAGGAAAGGAAGGUGGAGGCCGGCCUUUCAGAUUCCCUGGAGCGGGGAUAUGGAAGAAUUCAUCGCGGGCUAGUUUGUGUAUUCUGCACUUCAAAGUGACUUUACAGGUUUAUUUGGGGAUUCCACUCCAGCAGAGAAAGGAACACCUUGCCAACUCUCGACCGUACGAUCCAUUUUUUGAAGAGAGAACACCACUCUGGGAGCGCUUAAGAGAGCAGGCACGGGGGCCAAGGCCACGCACCAUCACUCACUGUCCAGAUCAAAUCGUGGCCUUUCCCCCCCCCCCCCUCCUGGAGAAUCAGCUGUUAAACAUUUACCAGCACGCUGCCGUGUACAAACGAGAUCCAAGAGGAACCAGUUGACCGUCUAGAGUGAACAAAGAGUUUAGCCCAAAACUGUGGGCAAGUAAGCAGAUAAGGUUAAUUGUAUUAUGGAUCCCUUCAUGAAUGACCGCCUGAUGGGAAUGCUGCCUUAACAUGACUCAGCAAUUCGUGCCCUUUGCCGUACAUUCUUGGAAGCAAUAGAAUUGCCUUUUAUUAUUAUUUUUUAUUAUUUUUGAGAGAGAGAGACAGAGACAGGGUGCAAGCAGGGGAGGGGCAGAGAGAGGGGGAGACACAGAAUCCGAAGCAGGCUCCAGGCUCCGAGGCUUGAACGCGGGGCUUGAACCCACGACCUGUGAGUGAGAUCGCGACCUGAGCCGAAGUCGGACGCUUAACCGACUGAGCCACGCAGGCGCCCCGCCUUUCAGUAUUUCUUUUUGUUUGUUUUUUUGCCCCCUACAAUGGAGGCCCCCAGUUCCAAAACUUCCAGUUUACAGAUUACACGUGUGUGAUGGGUAUGAAAGAGUCUGGUGUAAGAAGUCAGGGUGUUGCCGGCAGCUGGUGGCCGCAGGUAGAGCAGUGGAGUUCAGGGUUAGGGGGAGGUCGCAGAGGUGCGGGCUGGACUCUGGUGUGUUUAUCUCAAAGUUGGUCUAUCCCUCUCUUUUAAACCUUAUAACAAUCUUCCUUCAGUAAUCCUGGGUACCAGGAGUGCCGUUGAGGCCCGAGGGCGGGGCCUGUAUGUUGUUUGGGGAUCGAUCUCCGUACUCCAGAAGCUGCAAGCCUCAAGAUCCACCCUACCAGUCGACCAGCUUUUUCAGCCGAAAGACUAUGGCCCAUCUUCCCCAAGUCCUGUGUCUGUAGAGUCCGGCGAGGUACCACCUGUGGUGGCCAUUGGAUUAAUUUCAAAGAUACAACAUGGUGUAAUGGGACAAGACGGGAUGUGGAGUUCGGAGUCAGAAGACUGAGGUUCAACGAAAACUAAUCGCUGGGGUAGAAAUCAGAUAGUGGUCUAGGGUUGAGGGUUGAGUGGUUCUGGGAAAGGGCCGGAGGGGAUUUUCUAGGGGAUAGAAAUGUUCUAUACCCUUUGCGGGAGGUAGUUACAUAAGCAUAUACAUCUGCCCAAAUCCAGCAAAGACGCCGAUGAUCCGUGCAUUUUAUCCAAUGCAAAUUGUAUAGCAAUUGUCUCUCCUACUGUCCAGACAACUCCUUCGUCUCUAUGAGCCUUCGUUUCCUGUCUGAAAAAUGGAAGGACGACUUCUACCCGUGCCGUGGGUGAUCACACAUAUUAUUAAAUGGGACCACGUGAGUCCAACGUGCUUUGUACAUGAUAAAAAGCCCUGUGCACGGUGGCUACCAUUGUUCUGCUUUUCAUCUAGCUGCCUUCUAGAGCAGAUUGAGUUGGUACAAAUCUGUGGGCUCUGCCCUGCAACUUUCCCUUGGAGAUUAGUGUUUAUCUGUCUAUUUUAAGGAGACUCUGGAGGUAUCAAAAUGCUGCAGAAAAGCAAAUGGAAUAUGGAUUUGCUGGGGAGAGGAGGGCGGGCCGGAAAGGGAACAGCUGGGGAGCAAGCCAUCAAUCCAGCCGGGCAGCAGGGCCAGCCGGGUGCCGAGAGGGAGCCGCUUAAUGCCUGUGAGAGAGUCGUGACCAGGAAAAGCAACGUGAGUAAAAAAAAAAAAAAAAAAAAAAUCACAUCUUGCCAAACAAACUGGGUCACAUUCGUGAUGGAGUUAGUCACCGAGCAGAGACGGGAAAGCAUUUUCACAGGAAAAAGCAGAAGGUUGGGGGACCACGGUGACUCAGCUGAAGUGGCCAGGGCCACUUUGGCCUCCUGGCCCCGCUCGGUAGUUAAGCGAGAGUCCUUCUGUGGGUCCUGCAGUGCGUCUUGCGGUCUUUUGGGUUUGAACUUGAUCUUUACGCCUAGAGGCAAUCACAAACAACCUUUACAUUGGAAUCGAGAGCACAGCACACAUUUUAAAAUAGAAAAAAAAAAAAAAAUCAUAGCGAGAAGCCAAGUUAAACUAAGACCGGAAGAGCGGGGAGGCCGUGGCGGAGUUCACCCCCCGGAGCUCGAGUGGGAGGUAACAACUGGCCGAAUGCAGCCGAGCUCCUGAGUGAUUACACUGGCAAAGUCUUUGAAUUUAGCAACUUUGAAGUCAGAGCAAAGAGCAACUGUCCUUUGGCAGCAAAAACCUAUAAGAUGAUUGAACAACGCUGAAUUCAAAUUUAAAAUUGUUGGCCACUAAAAUAAAGCUAAAACAGGGAACGAUGUAGCAGGAAGAAAUAAUCUACAAGACAAAUCUGAUGUGUGAAAUUUUGAUUUUAUCCUCAUUAUAAAAAUUUUGGUGCUUUCUGCUAGAUGAUUUUGCCAAGAAAUGUGAUAUGUUGAAAAAGCAGAGGAAAUGUACCCUAGACGCCGAGGCUAUAAAAGGCUGUUUAAAGUGAUAGGAAUCAGUCGAGGCUCUCCCCGUGACCGAGGUUAUAAAAUUAGGAUCUUAAAACUACCAAAUCUGGGUGAGAGCAAAAGCUCCAGUUAAAAGCCAUGUCUCAAUUUAUUUUAAUAUAACUUCCAUUUUCCCACA